CACGUAGGGGGCAAGCGUUGUCCGGAUUUAUUGGGCGUAAAGAGCUCGUAGGCGGUUUCGUAAGUCGGAUGUGAAAACUCCAGCUCAACUUGGAGACGCCAUUCGAUACUGCGAUGACUUGAGUCCGGUAGGGGAGUGGUGGAAUUCCUGGUGUAGCGGUGAAAUGACGCAGAUAUCAGGAGGAACACCGGCGGCGAAGGCGGCCCUCUGGACGGAUACUGACGCUGAGACGCGACAGCGGUGGGGAGCAAACAGG
rnacentral:rRNA from 1 species